UACGGAGGAUGCGAGCGUUAUCCGGAUUUAUUGGGUUUAAAGGGUGCGUAGGCGGAAUAUCAAGUCAGCGGUAAAAAUUCGGGGCUCAACCCCGUCGUGCCGUUGAAACCGAUGUUCUUGAGUGGGCGAGAAGUAUGCGGAAUGCGUGGUGUAGCGGUGAAAUGCAUAGAUAUCACGCAGAACUCCGAUUGCGAAGGCAGCAUACCGGCGCCCAACUGACGCUGAAGCACGAAAGCGUGGGUAUCGAACAGG
rnacentral:rRNA from 1 species